UAAUACAUGGGGGGCAAGCGUUAUCCGGAUUUAUUGGGCGUAAAGGGUGCGUAGGCGGUUUAAUAAGUCUAUGGUCUAAGUUCAACGCUUAACGUUGUGAUGCUAUAGAAACUGUUUGACUAGAGUUGGAUAGAGGCAAGUGGAAUUCCAUGUGUAGCGGUAAAAUGCGUAAAGAUAUGGAGGAACACCAGUAGCGAAGGCGGCUUGCUGGGUCUUAACUGACGCUGAGGCACGAAAGCGUGGGGAGCAAACAGGAUUAGAUACCCUGGUAGUCCACGCCGUAAACGAUGAGUACUAAGUGUUGGGUUAAACCAGUGCUGAAGUUAACGCAUUAAGUACUCCGCCUGAGUAGUACGUACGCAAGUAUGAAACUUAAAGGAAUUGACGGGACUCCGCACAAGCGGUGGAUCAUGUUGUUUAAUUCGAAGAUACACGAAAAACCUUACCAGGUCUUGACAUACUCUGCAAAGCUAUAGAAAUAUAGUGGAGGUUAUCAGGGAUACAGGUGGUGCAUGGUUGUCGUCAGCUCGUGUCGUGAGAUGUUGGGUUAAGUCCCG
rnacentral:rRNA from 1 species